UUAGUGUUUUGAAGAUAAAGACUAUUGUUGUUAAUGUUAAGAUUUGAUGCUCACUCGGUCACUGUCCUCAUACGCAUACAAACGAGUCCGUGGAGGUACAGGGGCUUGGAUUAGCUAAUCGUGGUUGUACAUGCUCUCAAAUAAAUAAAAAGCCGGAGUACAGACAUCCACCGUCAAGGAAAGUGAAGGCCCGCAAAUGCAUGAAGCCGUGUUGUUCCGAGAAAACCAGAGAUGCCGUGAUGAGUUCCAUUUGGGCUAGCUAGCUAGCUAGCGAGCCUAGCCGCACCCAGGGUCAACAAGAAGCGCGCGGCACAGUUCCAUUCUGUUCCGCCACGUACAUCAACCAUCACCCCAGCACGAGUACGCGUGCAUAGCAACCGAAUUGGACGCGUUGGCUUCCUUCCUUGAUAGCCGGACGAGGCGCCGGAGCCGGCCGGGGUAGUCGGGGGGGUCGAUGGAGACGACACGACGAGGGGUCGGACGACGGAUCUAGCCUGAAAGCGAACACCAUCCAUCGACACAUCCCUUCCAUCGGGCGACGUGAUCGGGGACGCGAUCGACCGAGCUAGCGUUUUGUCACGGUUCCCCCGGAGCCUAGCCCGAUGUGUGCGGAUCGCCGCGGAACCCGUGGCACCGUCGACGGGUACGUUGCCUAUUCCUUCGCGAUCCGUGGACCCCGACGAGGGCGCGGGCCAGGAGCCGGCGGCNUCCACCCCGCCAAGCCACCACACCUCUCCCUCUCUUCUCCCACCUCUCUCCCUGGUAUAGUCUCGAGAAACUAAUGGAUCAUAUGGAGGAAGAAGCUACUCACUCUACUCGCGAGUCGCGAUCGACCGAGCAGUGCGAUUACUGUGGCGAGCGCAGUAGAGACGUAAACGUCGCCGUCUCCGAGGGAAUAUACAUGUCCUGAAGCGCGACGGCCACCCGGAGCCCCAUCAAUCAUUGCCGACGCUGCUACCCGCCACGCCACGGCCGAUCCACCUUCUCCUGCAACAAAAAAGAAAAAUAGCUUUCAAGAACACAACAAAUUUUUCACCUCCUCCUGUCAGUCCGUGUCCAUUGUGUAGUACUUCCUCCAUCAUGGUUUAGAAGACACAGUUAAACUUCGUGUGUUUUUAAAUAAACAAGGUUUAAGACGCGAA
rnacentral:lncRNA from 1 species